rnacentral:rRNA from 1 species
AGAGUUUGAUCCUGGCUCAGGAUGAACGCUAGCGGCAGGCUUAAUACAUGCAAGUCGAGGGGCAACAGGGGUAGCAAUACCUGCUGGCGACCGGCAAACGGGUGCGGAACACGUACAGAACCUUCCUUUAAGUGGGGGAUAGCCCGGAGAAAUCCGGAUUAAUACCCCGUAACAUUAUUGAUGUGGCAUCACAUUAUAAUUAUAGAUUUAUCGCUUAGAGAUGGCUGUGCGGCUGAUUAGGUAGUUGGUGUAGGUAAAGGCUCACCAAGCCAACGAUCAGUAACUGGUGUGAGAGCACGACCAGUCACACGGGCACUGAGACACGGGCCCGACUCCUACGGGAGGCAGCAGUAAGGAAUAUUGGUCAAUGGACGCAAGUCUGAACCAGCCAUGCCGCGUGAAGGAUGAAGGCCCUCUGGGUUGUAAACUUCUUUUAUGUGGGAAGAAAUGCAUCUUUUUCAAGGUGUUUGACGGUACCAUAGGAAUAAGCACCGGCUAACUCCGUGCCAGCAGCCGCGGUAAUACGGAGGGUGCAAGCGUUAUCCGGAUUCACUGGGUUUAAAGGGUGCGUAGGUGGGCUUGUAAGUCAGUGGUGAAAUCUCCGUGCUUAACAUGGAAACUGCCAUUGAUACUAUAGGUCUUGAAUUAUCUGGAGGUCAGCGGAAUAUGUCAUGUAGCGGUGAAAUGCUUAGAUAUGACAUAGAACACCAAUUGCGAAGGCAGCUGGCUACAGGUAUAUUGACACUGAGGCACGAAAGCGUGGGGAUCAAACAGGAUUAGAUACCCUAGUAGUCC